rnacentral:lncRNA from 1 species
UAAUCUCAGCGAAGAGCUUGCAGGCCACCAGAAAAAAGAGAUCUUCCCCAGAAUAAGCUUGUUGCUUUGUAGUGUUGGUGACCUAUUCCCUUUGAUGAUCCUUGGGUGGAGAUGGGGCAUGAGGAUCCUCCAGGGGAAAAGCUCACUACCACUGGGCAACAACCCUAGGUCAGGAGGUUUUACUAAGAUACUUUCCUGGGCCCAGAUAAGAAGAUGAAGCCUCAAGGACAACCACCACACAUCAAGAUGGGUCUAUCUGCCAAAUCAUUAUCCUUUCCAAAAGCUGUGCAAAAAAGAUGAAUGGAUAUUCAGCAGGAUCAAGAAAGUGGACACAUUAACGGAAACCAGUUUUCCUACCAGAAGAUCAAUGUGCCUGGCACUCUAGCAUUUUAAAAUAGCAGAAUGGAUGUGUCUUAGCCAUGUUCAUGUUUCCUUGCUUUCUUCUAUGCAUGCUUUUAUCUCAUUUUCUCUUUUUGUUCCUAAGUGUGGUCUAUACUUUGUCUUAAAUGUAUCUCUAAUUGUUUCAUUUUGUUGCUUCUUCUCUUCCCUCUCCUAGAUCUGGCUCUUUUCACUGUUUCUUCCUUUUAUGUCUCCACUUUGGGUUACAUGCUGUGUGCUUUUUCUGCCUCUUUCUUAUUGUGCCUGCCUCACUUGUUCUUUUUCUCUUUGUGAACUCUGAUUGUCACUCCUUCCUCUUCUUAUUGGUUCAACAUUUCACCUUUCUCUGAUUUUGGCUUCCUC